rnacentral:tRNA from 2 species
CGGGACGUAGCGCAGUUUGGUAGCGUAUCUGCUUUGGGAGCAGGGUGCCGCAGGUUCAAAUCCUGCCGUCCCGACUA